ACCGCAGAGACACAUCUGCUGUGUGCAGGCUAGAGAGAUAACAAGCAAAGGCUGGCACUCAAAUUUACACUGCAUGUGUUGAGCCAAUUUGCCAACAUGUAGCACUUUUUCAGUCUUUACAAGGCUUUACAAAUAUCACCCAGUUGGGUCUCACUGGGAACAAGAUUCAUGUCGACUGCUUUAAAAUCCUUUUUCUGUGGUGUUAGGCUUUGUGCCUAUUAAGGUUAAACAAUACUUCAAUCAUCAUAUUGAGGAGACUGUGGCCAGUAGAGAAGGAUGAUCUCAACCAUGGAUUUACAUAUGGGUCCUGAGAUGAUUCAGCAGUCCAAUCCUGGAACCACAGAUCUGCCCACAGUAUGUAGAGACAUUCCUGGAGGGUCAGCUGCCUGCUGGGACAUUUCCUUUGACCACCACGGGAUCUCUGACCAUGGGUGAGCUGAGAGUAGAAGACUUGUUUUGGGAGGUGAGAGUCUGGCCUCCGCACACAAUGUCCAACCCAGCGAAAUUAGUGCAUGUGGGUCAUUUCUUCAAUGCUGGUCACAUUGGCUUCAGUGAGGAUGCUGGCGUUAGUACAGCGAUCUUCCCAUGUGAUGCGAAGGAUCUUCCGGAGGCAUUGCUGGUAGUAUCUCUCCAGACUCUUGAGAUGCUGUCAAUAAGUCACCCAGGUUUCACAUCCAUGCACUUAUAUACAGGUGACCAAAUGCAGGCCCGGCAUAAGAUGGUGUAGUUUCAUUUACCCUAAAUGGAGCUGCAUUGUCAGCACUGAAUUGGACUGUAUGUGCAAUGUCUGUGCAGACACCUGACUUUGGUGCAUUUAAAUUUUCAGUAUAUUCAGUGCUUUAAUAUACUAUUUUUGUACUGAAUGUCCAUGUGUGUUUAAUUAAAAAUAAGCUAUAGUCAAGGGCUGAAAUGUUAUAAAAUGCCUAUUGCUAAAAAAGGCAGAUUUACAGGAUACAGGACUACAUCUUAGGCUCUAACAGACACAAAUAACUGGGUGUUGGGGUGGAAGACAUAAGGUCAAUUUGUCCUUGCUGGUACCUCACUAGAGUUAAGCACCAAGGAUGAAUUUGGCCCACAACCCCUUGCUUCAUCUUCUCUGUCCAUGGUGGCUUUAAAAAAAAAAAAGUGAAUCUUUAAUAUAUACAUUAGCCUGAAGAAAGCUUCGCACACAUGGUGAGUAAUUGAGAUUUACAUUUUAACAAACAUUCUUUUUAAUCUUGGGUUGCCCAGCAACUGCCAGUUUGGCAGUGGUGACUUUUCAAAACCAUUUACCUUUGUCACUCCACAGACAGCCAUUCUUCCUAACAUCGGCUACUGACCUCUUUCUACAAUAUGUUUGUGACAAGUGAUCUUGUGCACCGACUCCAUGGGUGCUCCAGGGCUUGAGCAGCCACUGAAAACAGUAGGGGGUGCUCAGCACCCACAGGGCCGGAUUAAUCUUUUGUGGGCUUUUGAGGGCUUGGACCACCAUUCUGCUCCGAGGCCUCACCCGCUGCUCUGCCCUGAGACCCUGCCCCCGCUCGGUCUCUUCCGUCCUAAGCUCUGCCUGCACUUGCACCAGUGGGAGGGAAAGAGCAUCCACCAGGAAAAACAAAAGUCAGUGCCUGUGCAAGUGAUUUGCUAAUGACUCUCCAUUAAACUGUAAAUUCUGAAAAUUAAAAAAAAAACACAUCAUGUAGCACUGCCUAUAAUAACCUGUGGCCCUGUUACAUUUUCCAUUGUAAGAUCCUGUUUUCAGUUGCUUAUAACUGCCAAGUUUAAGCUGUUCACACUGACUUUCCCAUGCUGGGUAUCUGUCUCAGGCUUUAAAAACAACAACCUAAGUUUCAGCUACAAUGGCUCAGUCCCUUCCACGAAUGAGGUUACAGGAAACUGUUUUGCAUGUAUAGAAAAUUCUUUCAGCUCUUCUGCUGAGACACUCUAGUGCCUUCAUGCUUCAGAAUAGGGACCUAAAACUUGCCAGGAGGCCCACCUCAGUGCCAGCACUAUGUCUUUAAUGUUCCCAUUUAAAACUGCCCACAUUUGGCUAAGUUAUAAGCCGCUGACAAAUCUGUUUGCACAUGCUUAGUAGAAGCUUAGACUUGUUGGAGUUUGGUAGCUAAAUUCUCUCACUGAGCAUGUUCCACCCACUCAUAGCUCCUAUCUGCCACUAGUCUAA